AUUGAACGCUGGCGGCAGGCCUAACACAUGCAAGUCGAACGCGAAAGCUCCUUCGGGAGUAAGUAGAGUGGCGAACGGGUGAGUAACGCGUAGGAAUCUACCCAAGAGUGGGGGACAACCCGGAGAAAUCCGGGCUAAUACCGCAUACGCCCUACGGGGUAAAGUGGGGGACCUUUCGGGGCCUCAUGCUUUUGGAUGAGCCUGCGUCGGAUUAGCUUGUUGGUGAGGUAACGGCUCACCAAGGCGACGAUCCGUAGCUGGUCUGAGAGGAUGACCAGCCACACUGGGACUGAGACACGGCCCAGACUCCUACGGGAGGCAGCAGUGGGGAAUAUUGGACAAUGGGGGAAACCCUGAUCCAGCCAUGCCGCGUGUGUGAAGAAGGCCUUCGGGUUGUAAAGCACUUUCAGUAGGGAAGAAAAGCCUAAGGUUAAUACCCUUGGGUCUUGACGGUACCUACACAAGAAGCACCGGCUAAUUCCGUG
rnacentral:rRNA from 1 species